rnacentral:rRNA from 1 species
GACGAACGCCGGCGGCGUGCUUAACACAUGCAAGUCGAACGGAAAGGCCCUGCUUUUGUGGGGUGCUCGAGUGGCGAACGGGUGAGUAACACGUGAGUAACCUGCCCUUGACUUUGGGAUAACUUCAGGAAACUGGGGCUAAUACCGGAUAGGAGCUCCUGCUGCAUGGUGGGGGUUGGAAAGUUUCGGCGGUUGGGGAUGGACUCGCGGCUUAUCAGCUUGUUGGUGGGGUAGUGGCUUACCAAGGCUUUGACGGGUAGCCGGCCUGAGAGGGUGACCGGCCACAUUGGGACUGAGGUACGGCCCAGACUCCUACGGGAGGCAGCAGUGGGGAAUAUUGCACAAUGGGCGGAAGCCUGAUGCAGCAACGCCGCGUGCGGGAUGACGGCCUUCGGGUUGUAAACCGCUUUCGCCUGUGACGAAGCGUGAGUGACGGUAAUGGGUAAAGAAGCACCGGCUAACUACGUG